rnacentral:rRNA from 1 species
CUACGGGUGGCAGCAGUGGGGAAUAUUGGACAAUGGGGGAAACCCUGAUCCAGCAAUGCCGCGUGGAGGAUGACGCAUUUCGGUGUGUAAACUCCUUUUAUAUGUCAAGAAAAUGACGGUAGCAUAUGAAUAAGCACCGGCUAACUCCGUGCCAGCAGCCGCGGUAAUACGGAGGGUGCAAGCGUUACUCGGAAUCACUGGGCGUAAAGGACGCGUAGGCGGGUUGGAAAGUCAGGUGUGAAAUCCUACAGCUUAACUGUAGAACUGCACUUGAAACUUCUAAUCUAGAGUAUGGGAGGGGGAGAUGGAAUUAGUGGUGUAGGGGUAAAAUCCGUAGAUAUCACUAGGAAUACCUAAAGCGAAGGCGAUCUCCUGGAACAUUACUGACGCUAAGGCGUGAAAGCGUGGGGAGCAAACAGGAUUAGAUACCCUAGUAGUC